rnacentral:lncRNA from 1 species
UGUGGAUCCACCAUUUGGAUCAGGAAAACCCAGUUGUUUCUCUCUCUUCCACGGGAACAAGAUUAAAAACUUCUUUGUGUAAUCUAACAAAAAGGUGGAAAGUCUGUGGGACCUCAGUGCUAGACCUGAUGUAACAAUGCCACCUCAUAGCAAAGCAGCACCUUCAUCUUCCGUCCCCGCCUUACAUCCACUCCAAAGGGCCAUGGUAAACAAUUUCAGUAAAGUUCAACUAGAUGCUGAGUGCUGCAACAAGCAAGAAGCCUGCCAAACUCAUGUACUUCCAAAGAGCAAAAAAUCAGACAGACUACAGGUGCUUGUUCUGCCAGUUGCUCUUUCUUCAGAUGGUGAUCUCAGAAAACUUGGAAGUGCUGCUCAUUUUAGCUGACACAAGAUUCAGUGCUUUUUGAGUUGUAUCUAUGCUCAACAAUUCUUAAUGUUUGAAAUGGAUAAAAGAUAUUUCCUGAUGAAUCAUCAAAUAAAUUUAGCUUAAGAUUUGCCA